rnacentral:rRNA from 1 species
GACGAACGCUGGCGGCGUGCUUAACACAUGCAAGUCGAGCGGUAAGGCCCUUUCGGGGGGUACACGAGCGGCGAACGGGUGAGUAACACGUGGGUGACCUGCCCUCAGCUCUGGGAUAAGCCCGGGAAACUGGGUCUAAUACCGGAUAUGACUCCAUGACGCAUGUUGUGGGGUGGAAAGCCUUGUGCGGCUGAGGAUGGGCCCGCGGCCUAUCAGCUUGUUGGUGGGGUGAUGGCCACCAAGGCGACGACGGGUAGCCGGCCUGAGAGGGCGACCGGCCACACUGGGACUGAGAUACGGCCCAGACUCCUACGGGAGGCAGCAGUGGGGAAUCUUGCGCAAUGGGACGAAAGCCUGACGCAGCGACGCCGCGUGAGGGAUGAC